GGGGAAUAUUGGACAAUGGGGGGAACCCUGAUCCAGCCAUGCCGCGUGUGUGAAGAAGGCCUUAUGGUUGUAAAGCACUUUAAGCGAGGAGGAGGCUCUUUUGGUUAAUACCCAAGAUGAGUGGACGUUACUCGCAGAAUAAGCACCGGCUAACUCUGUGCCAGCAGCCGCGGUAAUACAGAGGGUGCGAGCGUUAAUCGGAUUUACUGGGCGUAAAGCGUGCGUAGGCGGCUUUUUAAGUCGGAUGUGAAAUCCCCGAGCUUAACUUGGGAAUUGCAUUCGAUACUGGGAAGCUAGAGUAUGGGAGAGGAUGGUAGAAUUCCAGGUGUAGCGGUGAAAUGCUUAGAUAUCACGAAGAACUCCAAUUGCGAAGGCAGCUCACUGGAGUGUAACUGACGCUGAUGCUCGAAAGUGUGGGUAUCAAACA
rnacentral:rRNA from 1 species